GAUGAAGAACGCAGCGAAAUGCGAUACGUAAUGUGAAUUGCAGAAUUCAGUGAAUCAUCGAGUCUUUGAACGCACAUUGCGCCCCCUGGUAUUCCGGGGGGCAUGCCUGUCCGAGCGUCAUUGCUGCCCUCAAGCCCGGCUUGUGUGUUGGGUCUCGUCCCCCAUCCCGGGGGGACGGGCCCGAAAGGCAGCGGCGGCACCGCGUCCGGUCCUCGAGCGUAUGGGGCUUUGUCACCCGCUCUGUAGGCCCGGCCGGCGCUUGCCGAUCAACCAAAACUUUUUUCCAGGUUGACCUCGGAUCAGGUAGGGAUACCCGCUGAACUUAAGCAUAUCAAUAAGCGGAGGA
rnacentral:misc_RNA from 1 species